UACGAAGGGGGCUAGCGUUGCUCGGAAUCACUGGGCGUAAAGGGUGCGUAGGCGGGUCUUAAGUCAGGGGUGAAAUCCUGGAGCUCAACCUCAGAACUGCCUUUGAUACUGAGAUCUUGAGUUCGGGAGAGGUGAGUGGAACUGCGAGUGUAGAGGUGAAAUUCGUAGAUAUUCGCAAGAACACCAGUGGCGAAGGCGGCUCACUGGCCCGAUACUGACGCUGAGGCACGAAAGCGUGGGGAGCAAACAGGG
rnacentral:rRNA from 1 species